CGCCUGGGUCCCUGAGGCAGCCCCGAGUGAGCCCGAUGUAUUUUCCUUAUAUGAUCAGGCCUCUCGUAGCCAGCGCUGCUGGUUUGGAGCCUGAGAGGAUUAUGAAAACGUGGCAGGGUUACCUGCUGUUCUGGAA
rnacentral:snoRNA from 1 species